CCACGGCCUGGCAAGUACCUGUCAAGUAAUAAAUUCAGUCAUUUAGGUAAUUGCAAAGAGCAACAUCGCUGAAGCCUAAGAAGCAGCAGCACCAGGAGGAACAGCAAGAGCAGCAACAAGAGCAACAACAGCAGCAGAAGGAGAGGAGGAGGAAAAAAAAGGAGGAGCAGGAGGAACAUGAAGAUCAGGAAGAGCAGAAGGACCAGAAGGAACAGGAGGAUCAGGAACACCAGGAGGAAAAGAAGACGAAGAAAUAAUGAGUGACUGGUCUAUGUUUAUUUGAAGAGUGUGAUGAGGUGCUUCUUUGGAGAAAUGUGUACUCAAAGAAUUACUCGCGUAGAUUCUGCCCUGGAUGAGGAUGAUAUAAGCAGUAGCACUCCAUUGGAAAAGAAUGAAUUUUGCAUUUCUACAUAGCAGACUCCAGAUACAUGAUCAGCAAUCAGGGUUGCAAUUGCCUUCAGCUCCUCCCUCAACCCUUCUCCUGACUCAUCCAUGGGGUCACUGACUUCAGUCCAGUUGU